rnacentral:rRNA from 1 species
UCGCUCCUACCGAUUCCGAGUGAUGAGGUGAAUUUCUCGGACUUUGAAAGUUAAGUGAACCUUAUCACUUAGAGGAAGGAG